rnacentral:lncRNA from 1 species
AAUGGAAGACUAAGAAUUGGCUAAGAGUGUAUUGUUAUGCUUUUCUCUGCCAGGGAUUCAAAACCUAGAGCCCCAGGGUCCUUUAAAUAGUUUCAAAAGAACCAAAACAGAGUAGAAAUAGGGCCCGAUCCAAGUGAAAUCACGCCCAAGCGUAGCAGGGAGCUCGCCCGAGCAACAAUUGAAGUUCAUGUAAGGCCUGGGCAUCAGAUUUGGACACCCAAGCUACGAAGGUCCAUCGCCCGGGUGUUGGGGGUCACCGCCCGGGCUACGAGCGUCGUUCCUGGUCGCUUUGUUUUCACUCCUGGACGCUCGGGCUUCACGUUUUCCUUCCUUCUGGUGC